rnacentral:rRNA from 1 species
UACAGAGGUCUCAAGCGUUGUUCGGAUUCAUUGGGCGUAAAGGGUGCGUAGGCGGCGGGGCAAGUCGGAUGUGAAAUCCUAGGGCUCAACCCUGGAACUGCAUUCGAUACUGCCUUGCUCGAGUACUGGAGAGGAGACUGGAAUUUACGGUGUAGCAGUGAAAUGCGUAGAUAUCGUAAGGAAGACCAGUGGCGAAGGCGAGUCUCUGGACAGUUACUGACGCUGAGGCACGAAGACCAGGGGAGCAAACGGG